AAAAAAGGUAAGCUACUAAGAGCGAAUGGUGGAUGCCUUGACUGGUAAAGGCGAUGAAGGACGUACUAGACUGCGAUAAGCUACGGGGAGCUGUCAAGAAGCUUUGAUCCGUAGAUUUCCGAAUGGGGCAACCCAAUGUAUAGAGAUAUACAUUACCUAUAUAGGAGCGAACGAGGGGAAUUGAAACAUCUUAGUACCCUCAGGAAAAGAAAUCAAUAGAGAUUGCGUCAGUAGCGGCGAGCGAAAGCGCAAGAGGGCAAACCCAGUGCUUGCACUGGGGGUUGUAGGACUGCAAUGUGCAAGAGCUGAGUUUAGCAGAACAUUCUGGAAAGUAUAGCCAUAGAGGGUGAUAGUCCCGUAUGCGAAAAACAAAGCUUAGCUAGCAGUAUCCUGAGUAGGGCGGGACACGAGGAAUCCUGUCUGAAUCCGGGUCGACCACGAUCCAACCCUAAAUACUAAUACCAGAUCGAUAGUGCACAAGUACCGUGAGGGAAAGGUGAAAAGAACUGAGGUGAUCAGAGUGAAAUAGAACCUGAAACCAUUUGCUUACAAUCAUUCAGAGCACUAUGUAGCAAUACAGUGUGAUGGACUGCCUUUUGCAUAAUGAGCCUGCGAGUUGUGGUGUCUGGCAAGGUUAAGCAAACGCGAAGCCGUAGCGAAAGCGAGUCUGAAUAGGGCGCUUAGUCAGAUGCUGCAGACCCGAAACGAAGUGAUCUAUCCAUGAGCAAGUUGAAGCUAGUGUAAGAACUAGUGGAGGACUGAACCCAUAGGCGUUGAAAAGCCCCGGGAUGACUUGUGGAUAGGGGUGAAAGGCCAAUCAAACUUCGUGAUAGCUGGUUCUCUCCGAAAUAUAUUUAGGUAUAGCGUUGUGUCGUAAUAUAAGGGGGUAGAGCACUGAAUGGGCUAGGGCAUACACCAAUGUACCAAACCCUAUCAAACUCCGAAUACCUUAUAUGUAAUCACAGCAGUCAGGCGGCGAGUGAUAAAAUCCGUCGUCAAGAGGGAAACAACCCAGACUACCAGCUAAGGUCCCUAAAUCUUACUUAAGUGGAAAACGAUGUGAAGUUACUUAAACAACCAGGAGGUUGGCUUAGAAGCAGCCAUCCUUUAAAGAAAGCGUAAUAGCUCACUGGUCUAGUGAUUUUGCGCGGAAAAUAUAACGGGGCUAAAGUAAGUACCGAAGCUGUAGACUUGCGCACAACUUAGAUUAUUUAAGUUUAGAAUAUGAGAAACUAAGUUAUGUUUAGUUAUAUUUUUACUGAUUUUUAUAGAGUAAAGAUAGAAAUAAAACUUAGUAAAAUCAGUAAAAAUAUUCUUAGGCUAAAGUUAAGUAGUUUAAGUUGUGUGCAAGUGGUAGGAGAGCGUUCUAUUUGCGUCGAAGGUAUACCGGUAAGGAGUGCUGGAGCGAAUAGAAGUGAGCAUGCAGGCAUGAGUAGCGAUAAUUAAUGUGAGAAUCAUUAACGCCGUAAACCCAAGGUUUCCUACGCGAUGCUCGUCAUCGUAGGGUUAGUCGGGUCCUAAGUCGAGUCCGAAAGGGGUAGACGAUGGCAAAUUGGUUAAUAUUCCAAUACCAACAUUAGUGUGCGAUGGAAGGACGCUUAGGGCUAAGGGGGCUAGCGGAUGGAAGUGCUAGUCUAAGGUCGUAGGAGGUUAUACAGGCAAAUCCGUAUAACAAUACUCCGAGAACUGAAAGGCUUUUUGAAGUCUUCGGAUGGAUAGAAGAACCCCUGAUGCCGUCGAGCCAAGAAAAGUUUCUAAGUUUAGCUAAUGUUGCCCGUACCGUAAACCGACACAGGUGGGUGGGAUGAGUAUUCUAAGGCGCGUGGAAGAACUCUCUUUAAGGAACUCUGCAAAAUAGCACCGUAUCUUCGGUAUAAGGUGUGGUUAGCUUUGUAUUAGGAUUUACUCCGAAAGCAAGGAAACUUACAACAAAGAGUCCCUCCCGACUGUUUACCAAAAACACAGCACUCUGCUAACUCGUAAGAGGAUGUAUAGGGUGUGACGCCUGCCCGGUGCUCGAAGGUUAAUUGAU
rnacentral:rRNA from 1 species